CUAUAAAAUGAGAUGUAGCUUUCCUCUGACAGUUCACAAGCAAGAGCAGGAGGGGAGGCAGCUUCCAAAAACGUUCUCCCAUCAACAUCGACCCAUCAGCGUUGGACAAGAUAUCAGUCACCAAGAUGCUGACCCUCUGGGCCCUGGUCUUCAUGCUGACGGUCCAGGCAAGAGCACUUGACCUGCAGAAUCCAUCUUUGCUGCUGGGAAAUCUCCCUCAAUUAGCCCUUGAGGUCACCAAAAAAGCCCCUCUCAAUCUGCCACCCAGACCACUGUUCAGAAGUGCCCCAAAAGAUUCUCCAUCUAAGAAACAUCCAACUAGGACCCCAGGAGGCAGGUGUCUACCAGUGGCCAGGUACUUCAUGUCUAGCAGCAAACUCGAAGAAUAUCUGAACGCCACGCUGCCCCCACAGAUCGAGAAGAUGCUGAUGUGUGAGGAGAUAGAUCUAGCUGGUGUGCUUGGGACAGUGAUAUCUACAUUGUCUAACUCCAACCUACU